UCUCGCGCGAUCUCUCCGAAAGCUUCUCCUAUUCAAUUCAAUGGCAUCAACAAUCAGGUCAAAACGCCUUGUUUUCCUUGCCUUGCAGCUUCAAUGGUUGCAGAGGGAUCAACCCAUCUUUCAUCCGUCCGAUUCUAGGAAGCUCUCCAUCUCUAAUGGGAGCUCUCUCUCUCUCUCUCUCUCUCUCUCUCUCACCUAUACUCUGAUGGGAGUUCACCUUUUUUAUCCGAUCUUGAGCAGCUCUGAAAGAAGGUCGAACCAGACGGUAACCGCUGAUCUAGAUGAGACCCUCCUUGUGUCCCAAAACCCUCUUUCUCUGCUCUUUGAUCCUUCUCCACUGGUUUUCUGAUGCCCUAUUAAUGGCUCUAUUUUUAUAUAUAGAGAAGCAGAGGCAACCAUCAAUCAUCUCUCACCAUCACCUUCAUCUAAUCUCUCUUCUCUGAUUUCAACGGCCUCUGAUCAUAUCCCAUGGGAUUUCUGUGUAUUUCUCUAGAAAGAGCCUUGGAAAUGUCACAAGGAUUCAAAGUCCAUGCAUCUGUAAGACGUAGCUUGGAGUUGAUUUGGAGAAUUGUAAGAGCUCAUGGAAGGGACAACAAAUUCAUUCCUAGUUUAGAAAUGAAGCUUGCCUAAGUUAUGCUUCAUAUUAGACAUUUUAAAUGAACUUUCAGUAUCGAUACUAUAGGACAUCAGCGAUUGUAAGUCUUGGGCUGAACUAUCUAUCGGUGUGAUAUUUGUAAGUUACUUGUGAUGUUUCUUAUAACUUGAAAAUUUUCUUUUCACCUUCUUUUGCCUUGUGGAAAUUUGAUUUCAUCUAGAUGGGAAGUAGAUCCCUAAGCACAUGAUUAAAAUUGCUUUUGAAAAUGUUCUACGCUUUUUUUAAAAAACCCAACUGCUCCCUCACCUGAACAUGUCAUUGCUUCAAUUUAGAUUUUGUGCAGUUAUGGUCUGGGAGCGGAUAGGCAUUAGAUAUGUUGGCAGGAUAAACAAAUCAUAAUCAUAAUCUUUUCUUGACAUGGCUGUUGUGCAAUGCUCAGUACCUGUGUCCAAUAUCAUGCAAUGAGGGUAUUAGAUCUGUCUCAGAAAUGGCCAGCCAUAUCCAAAUAAUUCAUAUUAAAAUAAUAACUAAAAUUAUAAUUUAACAAAAUAUGUUAGUAAUAUGAUCAUCAACAUAGCCUUCUCCACACUAUAUGGGGUUGUCUUUGUGUAACUUGUUUCACGAAUCAUAUUCAGAACAGGAAUUCUUGUGAUUGCAUGGUAAACUUUUUACCACCAGCUACUCACCUUACAUCAACCCUUUCCUUUAUCCUGAGUUGGGACUGGCAGGCACAUAUUGCUUCCAGGCAGAGCUUCAAUUAGUUAGAAGAUAUUAAUUAUUAAAUGCUAAGCUGUGUCCCUGUAUGCAGUGAUUUGGAUUCAAGUGAGUCUCUUGCCUCAAGUUGUACUGUUACCCAACACCCGCAUCCACACCCAGAUUUCUGCUGAUGCCACUCCUAAAUCAUCAGAUGACAUCAAAUAGUUUUUCAUCAAUCUUCUCCAAUUUCUUGCAAGGUCCUAGCCAGAGUCCAGGAAACUCUGAAGAAGCACUAUCUUACAAAAGCUCUUGCAAUGAAAGAGCAGGUGUGGUUUGUGGUUUGUACUGAUUCUAUAUUCUCUGUAUAUACCUUGACCUUGUACUUGUGGUUGCUAACUGGUACUGGACAAGUGUUUCAGAUUUUAGAUUUAUGGUCCAAAGAGGCCAAAGCAUUAAAAUUCGUACUUGGGCAGACUGCUAAGGAUUGGUAGUUUAAUUUCAGCAUCUACUAGAAUUGGAGUUGUAUCUUUUGCAAUUUACGGUUGUUUCUCUGUUUGCAGUUGUACUACACGUAAUAUUUGAUAGUAUUUAGCAGCAACUGGCAUCGAGUAUUGGUGCAGCUCUUGUGACAGUGUGGUAGGAGUCUGUAGUACUGACUCCUCUGUUGCAUCUUAAAAGUAGUCCAUGGGGAACUAUUUGUUCUGAUGAGUGCAGGACUUGCAUGUCAUCUUAAUGCUUAUUGUGCAUUGCCUUUGUAUUCUUAUUGACGAAAGAGUUACCAAAGCAAUUGAUGAUUAAGCUGCACGGCAGCAGGUUAGUUUGAGAAAAAGUGUUCUCAAUCAACAAUUAAUAUAUUGGGAGAGGAAAAUACCCUUUUGUUUUUGCAGGCCUUCUAUUAAGGUGACCAAUUGUGUUCAUUGAUAAACAACAAGGAAAGUUAAGAGCAUUGGGCCCAUGGAAUCUUUUUUCUUUUUCUUUCUAUUAUUUAUUUAUUUAUUUAUAAAUCAGGAUAGCUCUUGUAAGUCACAAUAGGCAGGUCCAAUAUUCAGCAAGAACCAUUCACUUUACAUCCUUAGUUCUAUAAUCAAUUUUAUCCUGUAUACACUUCAAAACAUUCAAGAUUAAAAAACAAAGACCCCCCUGCAUUAUCAAUCAGAUCUGUCCAUCCAUUAGACCUUAAUAACGAUUGCUUCGUUUUCAAAAAUCAAACUUGUUGAACAGUCUUCUUAUUCAUCACUUUUCUUUAAGAAAUUUAACUAUUUUUCUUUUUUCAUAUGGUUGCUUUAGUGGCCAUUGAUCAAAUGGACAGAAAUGUCUAAUAGUGGACGUUACACAGAAAAUCGUGGACCCUGCUUGGCUGAUUCAUCAUGGGGCCAUAAGCCAUGUGCAAGGAACUUUGAUGCGAUGUCCUUGUUUUCCGAGCAAAAUCAUUUGUUGAUCUGGGGCAAUAUAAGUCCUAUAACUCAAAAUCAGCUUUUCUUUAAAUUAUUUAUGUGAUGCCCUUUUUUUUUCCGAGCAAAAUCAUUCAUCUGUGCAACUCUCUCCUCAGGAACUAUUUCUGCAUCUGUUUGUAGUUCAGGGUAUUAUAAUUCUAUUAUGAAAAAUAGGUUUUUCUUUCAAUUGAUGUUGUGUUGUGCUUGUUUUACUUUUAGAGUGAAACAAUACAAAACCGGUACCAUUUAGCCCCCAGUUUAUCAUCCAUGUUGUUUAACAUAAAGUAGGGCAUGUUUCCUUUU